rnacentral:rRNA from 1 species
AAUGAACGUUGGCGGCGUGGAUUAGGCAUGCAAGUCGUACGAGAAUCGUAGCAAUACGAGGAAAGUGGCGGAAGGGAGAGGAUUACGUGGGAAUCUACCCUCAGAACUGGGAUAGCGGCGGGAAACUGCCGGUAAUACCAGAUAAUGUCUGUGGACCGAAGGUGUGAUUCCGGCUGGGGAUGAGCCCACGUCCUAUUAGCUAGUUGGCAGGGUAAUGGCCUACCAAGGCAAUGAUGGGUAGCGGGUGUGAGAGCAUGACCCGCCUCACUGGGACUGAGAACUGCCCAGACACCUACGGGUGGCUGCAGUCGAGAAUCUUCGGCAAUGAGCGCAAGCUUGACCGAGCGACGCCGCGUGCGGGAUGAAGGCCUUCGGGUUGUAAACCGCUGUCGUAGGGGAGCAAGAGAUGAGGGUACUCCCUCUGAUUUGAGCGAUCCUAGGAGGAAGGACGGGCUAAGUUCGUGCCAGCAGCCGCGGUAACAC